rnacentral:rRNA from 1 species
CGGGUGAGUAACGCGUGAGGAACCUGCCUCAAAGAGAGGGACAACAGUUGGAAACGACUGCUAAUACCGCAUAAGCCCACGGCUCGGCAUCGAGCAGAGGGAAAAGGAGUGAUCCGCUUUGAGAUGGCCUCGCGUCCGAUUAGCUAGUUGGUGAGGUAACGGCCCACCAAGGCGACGAUCGGUAGCCGGACUGGGAGGUUGAACGGCCACAUUGGGACUGAGACACGGCCCAG